GUUGUUUUGCACCAUGCUUUGUCUUUGAGCUGUAUUUUUCCCGGUAAUAGAGUUAAUCGAUCUCGUGAAGCUCAAUUAUUCUUUAAAAAUAUUGUUUAUUCUGCUGCUAAUUAUUAGCGCAGUUUUCAGUUUUGGUGUAUUGUUCACCUUCUUGGAAUACCAAAAGUUUGGUAUUUUUUUAACGGAUGUCUGUUUUGCACUUUUUGACUUGUAGUAGUGGGUUGCCACUAUACAUGUCUCUAAUGCGUGUAGAAACGUGGGAGUAAGUUAACGUUUUACCGGCUUCAACCCUUUUUCCCUUUUCGUUUUUUUCUUUUCUUUUCAAAAUUGUGGUUUUGUGAGGAUGAAGCCUGAGCCACAUUGUUUUUGACCAUGUGGCGCAUUUUCUUUACAGUUGUUAUUAGGGUUUUGGGUUAUAUUGUGAGUGCUGUGUAUUGUUUUUGUCGAUUACGCCCUUUCACUUUCCCUUUCCUCUAUUUAUAUGACGGAGCCCCUUAGCUUUCCGACUCAUAUCUUUGUGGUGUCGUUUCUUUUUUGCAGACGAGGGGGAAGCUUUUUCCGAUAGGCGGGAGGCUACGGAUUUUACUAUCCUAUAUUGCACGGAGGACAGAUUAGUAAUCGUAGUCCUUAAUCCAAUUGUUGGUGCUUUUUAGUUUUUAUUUUCAGUAGUUGAAGCCAGGUUUCCUUCGGAGUCAGUUGUGCUCCUGGGUCAGUGCACGUUUCUCCUUCUUUAUUCCCAGCUUGGUGAAUCGUUGUUAUAUCGAGAUCAUGGACCAUGCUGUUGGUAUUGACGCUCUUCAGGUUGCCCUCUUACGGAGUAUGAGAAAGUUGGAGAUUUACCCUUUUAUCCCGAAGCUUCUCGUUUUCGAGGUUAAAGGUUUUGGGUUUCAUUUCUCUUUGCUCUGAGUCCAGAAGUUUUCCUUUGGUCGUUUCUCCACCCAACAACGUCUCUUGGGUCGAAUUUGUAUUUUUAUGGCGACCUUUUGAUUGAAAAUUUGUUUCAUUUGUAAUCCUUUCACGAGGGAUCCUCAUGAUUUUAUCAAUGAAAAUUAAUCUUGUUUUUGUUUAUUA